UACGUAGGGUGCAAGCGUUAAUCGGAAUUACUGGGCGUAAAGCGUGCGCAGGCGGCUUUGCAAGACAGAUGUGAAAUCCCCGGGCUUAACCUGGGAACUGCAUUUGUGACUGCAUGGCUGGAGUGCGGCAGAGGGGGAUGGAAUUCCGCGUGUAGCAGUGAAAUGCGUAGAUAUGCGGAGGAACACCGAUGGCGAAGGCAAUCCCCUGGGCCUGCACUGACGCUCAUGCACGAAAGCGUGGGGAGCAAGCA
rnacentral:rRNA from 1 species